rnacentral:rRNA from 1 species
GAUGAACGCUAGCGACAGGCCUAACACAUGCAAGUCGAGGGGCAGCACAUGAGUAGCAAUACGAUGGUGGCGACCGGCGCACGGGUGAGUAACACGUAUGCAACCUGCCUGUAAGAGGGGGAUAACCCGGAGAAAUUCGGACUAAUACCGCAUAAUACCACGAGACUGCAUGGUUUUGUGGUUAAACAUUUAUGGCUUACAGAUGGGCAUGCGUAUGAUUAGAUAGUUGGUAGGGUAACGGCCUACCAAGUCUACGAUCAUUAGGGGUUCUGAGAGGAAGGUCCCCCACACUGGUACUGAGACACGGACCAGACUCCUACGGGAGGCAGCAGUGAGGAAUAUUGGUCAAUGGGCGAGAGCCUGAACCAGCCAAGUCGCGUGAAGGAAGAAGGUUCUAUGGAUUGUAAACUUCUUUUGCAGGGGAAUAAAGGACGGUACGUGUACUGUUUUGUAUGUACCUUGCGAAUAAGGAUCGGCUAACUCCGUGCCAGCAGCCGCGGUAAA